CUUGGUCAUUUAGAGGAAGUAAAAGCCGUAACAAGGUUCCCGUAGGUGAACCUGCGGAAGGAUCAUUAACAAAUCAGUUAUAUGGCUUCGGCCAUAUAAAUAAACCCCAAGCCUGGAAUUGUAAUACACAAGACCGGGGCUUUGGAUGGGAGUGCGCUUCGGUGCGCUGGCCACAUUGACGCUUGUAUUGUUUGACAGAGUAUAGUUGCAUUAAAAAAUACAACUUUUAACAAUGGAUCUCUUGGCUCUUGCAACGAUGAAGAACGCAGUGAAAUGCGAAAAGUAAUGCGAUUUGCAUGAAUCUGUGAGUCAUCAAGUCUUUGAACGCACCUUGCACCGUAUGAGCAAUCGUACGGUAUACCUGUUUGAGAAUCGUAAAAACCUCUUUCUACCUUUUGGUGGGAGACUUGUCGGUUGUGCCCCUCGGGGUACUCUGAUUAAAUGCAGUAGGUCUGGAUCAGGCUAGUGGCCUGGGACACUGUGUGUUAGAGACGUCGCGUUGUUGACUGUCUUCUCAUAGUGCGUCCUAGGCUAUUCAAGCUGGCCUGGUCAAGCCUUCUAGUCGGUGCGUAUGCGCUGACACCCCCCCUUUUUGAUCUCAAAUCAGGUAAGGCUACCCGCUGAACUUAAGCAUAUCAGUAAGCGGAGGAAAAGAAACUAACAAGGAUUCCCCUAGUAACGGCGAGCGAAGCGGGAAGAGCUCAAAUUUAAAAUCUGGUAGGCCUUGCCUAUCCGAAUUGUAGUUUAAAGAGGCGUUAUCUGGCUGCUGCUUGGUGCUCAAGUCCCUUGGAAUAGGGCGUCACAGAGGGUGAGAACCCCGUCUGGGCAUUGGGCAGUGGUCUCUAUGAGGCGCUCUCUACGAGUCGGGUUGUUUGGGAAUGCAGCUCAAAAUGGGUGGUAAAUUUCAUCUAAGGCUAAAUACUGGCAAGAGACCGAUAGCGAACAAGUACCGUGAGGGAAAGAUGAAAAGCACCUUGAAAAGGGAGUUAAAUAGUGCGUGAAAUUGUUAAAAGGGAAACGAUUGAGACCAGUAUUGCUGUCGGUCGUUCAGCGGCGUGUUGGUGCAAGCCUGCGCGUCGUGUAUUCGGUCGGCGGCGAGUCAGCGUCAGUUUGGGUUUCCGGAGAGAGGUUGGAGGAAGAUGGGGUUUGCCUUCGGGCUAACCUUUUAUAGACUCUGGCUGGCACGGGAGCCUGGACUGAGGUGUGCGACUGUCGUACUCUCGGUUUGAGACCAGCCCCCAAGGUGACGGACUACACGUAGACCGGCGCUGCAAGGGACGGAGGUAGGGCCGAGCAGACAGUUCCAGGAUGCUGACGAAAUGGUCUUAAACGACCCGUCUUGAAACACGGACC
rnacentral:rRNA from 1 species